rnacentral:rRNA from 1 species
AGCGCAGGCGGGACUGCAAGUUGGAUGUGAAAUGUCGCGGCUUAACCGCGGAGCUGCAUCCAAAACUGUAGUUCUUGAGUGGAGUAGAGGUAGGCGGAAUUCCGAGUGUAGCGGUGAAAUGCGUAGAUAUUCGGAGGAACACCAGUGGCGAAGGCGGCCUACUGGGCUCUUACUGACGCUGAGGCUCGAAAGUGUGGGGAGCAAACA